rnacentral:misc_RNA from 1 species
GUGGGGCUUCGGCCCUAUCGAGAUAGAACCCUUGCCUUUUUUGUACCUUCUGUUGCCUCGGCGUCUGCUUCACGGCGGCGCCAACGGGGCCAAAUAAUAAACUCUUUUUUAUCAUGAAAUAGUCUGAAAAAAAAUUAAAAGUUAAAACUUUCAACAACGGAUCUCUUGGUUCU